rnacentral:rRNA from 1 species
AUUGAACGCUGGCGGCAGGCCUAACACAUGCAAGUCGAACGAGUGGCGGACGGGUGGGUAAUGUCGGGGAAAAUGCCUGAUGGAGGGGAAUAAUUACUGGAAACGGUAGCUAAAACCGCAUAACAUGGGAUGUGCCCAGAGGGGAUUGGCUAGUAGGUGGGUUAAAGGCUCCCUUAGGCGACGAGCCCUAGCUGGUCUGAGAGGAUGACCAGCCACACUGGAACUGAGACACGGUCCAGACUCCUACGGGAGGCAGCAGUGGGGAAUAUUGCACAAUGGGCGCAAGCCUGAUGCAGCCAUGCCGCGUGUAUGAAGAAGGCCUUCGGGUUGUAAAGUACUUUCAGCGGGGAGGCGUUACCCGCAGAAGAAGCACCGGCUAACUCCGUGCCAGCAGCCGCGGUAAUUC